UAGGGAAUCUUCGGCAAUGGACGAAAGUCUGACCGAGCAACGCCGCGUGAGUGAAGAAGGUUUUCGGAUCGUAAAACUCUGUUGUUAGAGAAGAACAAGGACGUUAGUAACUGAACGUCCCCUGACGGUAUCUAACCAGAAAGCCACGGCUAACUACGUGCCAGCAGCCGCGGUAAUACGUAGGUGGCAAGCGUUGUCCGGAUUUAUUGGGCGUAAAGCGAGCGCAGGCGGUUUCUUAAGUCUGAUGUGAAAUCCCCCGGCUCAACCGGGGAGGGUCAUUGGAAACUGGGAGACUGGAGUGCAGAAGAGGAGAGUGGAAUUCCAUGUGUAGCGGUGAAAGGCGUAGAUAUAUGGAGGAACACCGGUGGCGAAGGCGGCUCUGUGGUCUAUAACUGACGCUGAGGCUCGAAAGCGUGGGGAGCAAACAGG
rnacentral:rRNA from 1 species